rnacentral:rRNA from 1 species
GCUCAAGUUGAUAAUCUUCGGCGUAAAGAGUGGUUAAAAGACAUAUUUAAACUAAGGCUGAACCACCCCAAAGCUGUCAUACGCUCCUGGGAGUGUGAAAUACAACCACGAAGGUGGCCUUAAAUACUCUUGACCCCACGAAAGCUGUGAAACAAACUGGGAUUAGAUACCCCACUAUGCACCGCCGUAAACCUUGAUAGAAAACCACAACCCCUAUCCGCCCGGGGACUACGAGCAUAAGCUUAAAACCCAAAGGACUUGGCGGUGCUUUAGACCCCCCUAGAGGAGCCUGUUCUAGAACCGAUAACCCCCGUUCGACCUCACCUUUUCUUGUUCAUUCCGUCUAUAUACCGCCGUCGUCAGCAUACCCUGUGAAGGAAACAUAGUAAGCAAAACUGGUAAAACCCAAAACGCCAGGUCGAGGUGUAGCACACGAAAAGGAAAGAAAUGGGCUACAUUUCCUACUUUAGGAAAAACGAAUUGUGUUAUGAAACAGCACAUGAAGGAGGAUUUAGCAGUAAGAAGAAAACAGAGUGUUCUACUGAACCCGGCCCUGAAGCACGCACACACCGCCCGUCACCCUCCCCAAAUCAAAAUACAUCUUUAUUUAAAAAUUUACCAGAACCAAAGGGGAGGUAAGUCGUAACAUGGUAAGUGUACCGGAAGG